rnacentral:rRNA from 1 species
UAGGGAAUCUUCCGCAAUGGACGAAAGUCUGACGGAGCAACGCCGCGUGAGUGAAGAAGGUUUUCGGAUCGUAAAACUCUGUUGUCAGGGAAGAACAAGUAUCGGAGUAACUGCCGGUACCUUGACGGUACCUGACCAGAAAGCCACGGCUAACUACGUGCCAGCAGCCGCGGUAAUACGUAGGUGGCAAGCGUUGUUCGGAAUUAUUGGGCGUAAAGCGCGCGCAGGCGGCCUUUUAAGUCUGAUGUGAAAGCCCCCGGCUCAACCGGGGAGGGUCAUUGGAAACUGGAAGGCUUGAGUGCAGAAGAGAAGAGCGGAAUUCCACGUGUAGCGGUGAAAUGCGUAGAGAUGUGGAGGAACACCAGUGGCGAAGGCGGCUCUUUGGUCUGUAACUGACGCUGAGGCGCGAAAGCGUGGGGAGCGAACAGGAUUAGAUACCCUGGUAGUCCACGCCGUAAACGAUGAGUGCUAAGUGUUGGGGGUUUCCGCCCGUCAGUGCUGC